rnacentral:rRNA from 1 species
UCGAGCGGAGAGAGGUAGCUUGCUACUGAUCUUAGCGGCGGACGGGUGAGUAAUGCUUAGGAAUCUGCCUAUUAGUGGGGGACAACAUUUCGAAAGGAAUGCUAAUACCGCAUACGUCCUACGGGAGAAAGCAGGGGAUCUUCGGACCUUGCGCUAAUAGAUGAGCCUAAGUCGGAUUAGCUAGUUGGUGGGGUAAAGGCCUACCAAGGCGACGAUCUGUAGCGGGUCUGAGAGGAUGAUCCGCCACACUGGGACUGAGACACGGCCCAGACUCCUACGGGAGGCAGCAGUGGGGAAUAUUGGACAAUGGGCGCAAGCCUGAUCCAGCCAUGCCGCGUGUGUGAAGAAGGCCUUAUGGUUGUAAAGCACUUUAAGCGAGGAGGAGGCUACUUUAGAUAAUACCUAGAGAUAGUGGACGUUACUCGCAGAAUAAGCACCGGCUAACUCUGUGCCAGCAGCCGCGGUAAUACAGAGGGUGCAAGCGUUAAUCGGAUUUACUGGGCGUAAAGCGCGCGUAGGCGGCUAAUUAAGUCAAAUGUGAAAUCCCCGAGCUUAACUUGGGAAUUGCAUUCGAUACUGGUUAGCUAGAGUGUGGGAGAGGAUGGUAGAAUUCCAGGUGUAGCGGUGAAAUGCGUAGAGAUCUGGAGGAAUACCGAUGGCGAAGGCAGCCAUCUGGCCUAACACUGACGCUGAGGUGCGAAAGCAUGGGGAGCAAACAGGAUUAGAUACCCUGGUAGUCCAUGCCGUAAACGAUGUCUACUAGCCGUUGGGGCCUUUGAGGCUUUAGUGGCGCAGCUAACGCGAUAAGUAGACCGCCUGGGGAGUACGGUCGCAAGACUAAAACUCAAAUGAAUUGACGGGGGCCCGCACAAGCGGUGGAGCAUGUGGUUUAAUUCGAUGCAACGCGAAGAACCUUACCUGGCCUUGACAUAGUAAGAACUUUCCAGAGAUGGAUUGGUGCCUUCGGGAACUUACAUACAGGUGCUGCAUGGCUGUCGUCAGCUCGUGUCGUGAGAUGUUGGGUUAAGUCCCGCAACGAGCGCAACCCUUUUCCUUAUUUGCCAGCGAGUAAUGUCGGGAACUUUAAGGAUACUGCCAGUGACAAACUGGAAGGAAGGCGGGGACGACGUCAAGUCAUCAUGGCCCUUACGGCCAGGGCUACCACCGUGCUACAAUGGUCGGUACAAAGGGUUGCUACCUAGCGAUAGGAUGCUAAUCUCAAAAAGCCGAUCGGAGUCCGGA